rnacentral:lncRNA from 1 species
CUGCAUCUGGCUAAUCAAUAGAGCUUGAGAGCUAGGCAGUGGGUGCGUUCAUGGGACACAUUGCUGAAGGCAAUUUGCCAAAGCUCCUGGGACCAUCUCUCAGAGAUGUUCACUAAUGUCAAGGACAGACACUUCUCUCCUGGAGAAACAAGGAAAGGGGCCUGUGUCCCUUUGGUGGCACCAGUUCCACUUCCCUAGUGAUCACUUAAUUCCACCAGUAAAGAUACAUUUCAUCAUCUGUCACCAUGUCGACUGUGCCCGGCCACCUUGCAGACUGAUAUGCGGCACACACAGCAGCAUCAGAGCUCAGAGGGUCACAGACUGGUCAAGGGAGGGCGCUAGUGUGCCAGCAGAGAAAUGACUUCCUCCAGGUCAAGCCACAUUCAGAUUGUGGGGAGAUGGGGAUUCUAAGAGAGGCUUUUGCUAAUUUCCUCCUUGGCCCAGGCUGGGCUACAGCAAGGAGUGUUCCUGUGUGAUCUCUUUCAGCUCGAGCCGUCAUGCUGUUUGCUCUCAUCCCCGUCACAACCAUCCGAUCAGCUAUGUCCAAACUCAUAAAGGGCUCCUCUUAUGCAUCGUGGCCUAUAAACAAGUCCCAUGGUCACCAUAUGGAGACAUCACAGAGAAAUGAAAAUGCUUACCUGCAGGAGCUGAAAACACCAGCCAUGGCCAGGCCCCCAGAAGACAAAAGAAGGGACCAGGGAACUGGUGACCAAAGCAACCCACUGCUAAAGAAACCCACGUUCCAGGCAGAGUUGGCCUCAGUAUGACCUGCUUUGGCUCAGGGAUCCCUGGUGGAUGGGGAAAAGCAUUUUCCUGGUGAUGGAAAAACGUUCUUAGCUUUAAGAUACCCCUAUUAGGCAGAGAUUGGGUUCUGUGACAGCAGAACAUGAGCUUAAGGGUUAUAGGCGGGCUGCAUACAGCAGUCCCAGGCCCUGUGAGGGGUUUCAGACCCCAGCUACAGCAAGCCUGCCCCUUUUCUUCAAGGGAUUGUCUUGAGGGCUCCAAGGUAUAGCUAACUAGUCACUAGGAUGCUGUGCUGAAAGUCCCAUGGGAGAACUCAAAGCGUGGAUUAUCACAGCCUGAGGGGAAUGUGGAAGGAAUGUUUUGUAAGAACCACCAACAGUUUUGCACGAACAAUGUCUUUUAAAUUAAAAUAAAACCUUGAAAAAAGCCA